ensembl:snRNA U6 U6 spliceosomal RNA
GUUUGCUUCAGAAGUACAUAUGCUAAAAUUGGAACGAUACAGAGAAGAUUAGCAUUGGCCCCUGUGCAAGGAUGACAUGCAAAUUAGUGAAGUGUUCCAUAUUUUA